rnacentral:rRNA from 1 species
UACGGUGACUAUGGCGUUGGGGAUCACCUCUUACCAUUCCGAACAGAGUAGUUAAGCCCAAUUGCGCCGAUGGUACUGCCUCACCAGGCGGGAGAGUAGGUCGUCGCCGGUU